GUCUUUUAAUUGGAGUCUGGAAUGAAUGGUUGGAUGAGGGAUAAGCUUUCUUUAUCUUAUUUUUAAUGAAUUUGAUUUAUAUGUUAAAAAGCAUAUAUGUUUUUAAAGGACGAGAAGACCCUAUAGAACUUUAUAUAAAAUAUUAUAAUGGUUAUUUUAGUAUAAUUAUAUUUAUUAUAUAAUAUUUUAUAUUAAAUUGGGGUGAUGGAAAAAAUUUAAUAACUUUUUUGUUUUAUUACAUUUAUUUAUGUUUUUUUGAUCCUUUUUUUGGAGAUUAUGAGAUUAAGUUACCUUAGGGAUAACAGCGUUAUUUUAUCAUAGAGUUCAUAUCGAUGAUGAAGUUUGCGACCUCGAUGUUGGAUUAAAAUAAGUGAUAGGGGUAGGUUUCUAUCUUUUAGGUCUGUUCGACCUUUAAAUUUUUACA
rnacentral:rRNA from 1 species